AGAGCGAGUCAGCAGAAGGGGUUAGAGGGAGGGUAGCACAACGGUACAGGAAAGCAACAGACGGCGUUAAAUAGAGUGAGUAGCGGUGAGGAGGUGUCGUGACGCGGAUUAUCCGAGGGGAGAGUGGAACGGGAAAGAACGGGGUCGGCGGCCUCGAGCUGUACGGGACGACGCUCUCCGCUACCGAUCACGACACUCCGCUGCCCGUAGUACCAACGCCCCGCUACCGUCGAAGGCCGCUGCGCGACGAGAGGGAAGAGAUAGGUCUUUCGGGUGUUUACCGAACCGCAGCGGGGCGGUGUGGAUCUCACGCGCUGGUCUCGGUCGUUGUAGCGGUGGUCCUUGCUCGCGGUGCCUCCGGUUCGAAGACUGGGCCGGUUAGGUGACGGCGAGGCGGCGCAGCAGCCGAUCCGGCGGCGCGGUAGUAGCCUCGAAGUACCGGCGCCCGUGGAAGUAGGCAACGGUGUGCGGUGGACCCGAACGGGUGCAAGGCUAGGUCGGCCGUUUGCAUGCCUAGGCAAAGGGGGCACAGGCAGGGUCCGGAAAGAUGGAGCAACCUCAGCAGUUCCGCGUCCGUGAGAGAUGGUUCAGUUGACGUAGCGCGGGGACGAGGCAGAGCCCUCCUCGUCGCUCGGUCGCGGGCGGAGACGUAGCUCGUGACGAGCUAGGCUGGUGUAGCGGGUUCCGGGUGAGGCGGUGGCGGAACGAGGCGGGAGUGGCAGGAGGGCGGCCUCCAGCGGUGGCUGUACUUGCGGCUUCUCCUCCGUACGCCACUCCCCUCUAGCGGCCGCACCGGGAGCAGCCACCGCCAGAGGCCGCCCUCCGCGUCUUAGCCCGCCAGCCCGCGCCAGCAGAGCCCGCCCACCGCCGCAUCUCCCCUUUAAUCUCCACCUAGUGGACCGCUUGGCAAGAAAUGCACCACCUAACGCCCAACUUAUGGACUUUGUCAUCCCCCCAAAGACAUUUUUACGGCUGCUGCAUGCCGUGUUUGGGUUAAGAGAAUUAAGAGAAAUAAUAAUAAUCCAUCUCUAACAAAUUAGGUGUACGUACGCCCAAGCGCUUAAAGGGAAAUGAUUAAUCGUAAGAACACAAAGGUUCCAGGACACUUGUAAGGUGGUGGAUAUGAACUUUUAAAAAUAUUGGUUUUUCUCUACUGCUACCACUACUAGUGCUCGUACUACUGCUCCUCCUGGAUAUAUGAGUCACCGCGGACCGUUGAAUAAGGCUACCUAGUGGAGAAGAACAUACAUAUGUCCCGUGACGACUACAAUGAUUACUUGGUCCACAACAGAUAGUACCAGCGUGAAAGACCUAGAUAAGGUUGUAGGCAACGUCCCAUAAGCCCUACCUAUGAGCACACGAUCGCGGUUUUGGAAGAGGGACCAAGUCAUAACUAUCAGAACCUCUUUUAAGCGAGAAGGAACCUGUUUUGAUAGGUUACUACCACUUUCCGCCAGGUCGAUGACAACCGUGUUGCAAUGAUGGUAAACACUAUUCGUUGACGAUAUAGAGCCUGUAACGAUACCAAGGGAUGGCACCAAUAGUGUUAUACGCAGGACUAUAUCCGGCGAAGUCGGACCUACUAGUCAGGACGCAACCAGAGCUCUGACCGUUAUCGACUGGGAAGGGUCUCUUAGCCAAUACCAAGUUUCGUUCGCAAAGGUUGCGGCUCCUAACCAACUC
rnacentral:rRNA from 1 species